rnacentral:rRNA from 1 species
AAAUUGAAGAGUUUGAUCAUGGCUCAGAUUGAACGCUGGCGGCAGGCCUAACACAUGCAAGUCGAACGGUAACAGGAAGCAGCUUGCUGCUUCGCUGACGAGUGGCGGACGGGUGAGUAAUGUCUGGGGAACUGCCUGAUGGAGGGGGAUAACUACUGGAAACGGUAGCUAAUACCGCAUAA